CAUUCACAGAGUGCCCAGCACAGAAGAAAGCAUGAGGCUGCUAAACAAAACAAAAACCUAAAAUGGGAUCUGAAGAAGUCUUUAAAUGCAAGUAGCAUGAUGUUUUCAUGACACAAUGGCUUUUGGGAGUGAUGCAAACACGGCAGAUUUCAUCAUAUAGAGGGUCAGUGACAGCAACCUGUUAACAGGAAGGAGAAAUGCAGCCAUCAAAGCUUUUGAGUGAGUGAGACCAAUCUUUAAUUGGAUACCUUCUUCGCAUUACAUUUUUACAUGCUGUAGAAAAAAGUGGGAGAAUCUGAAGCAGAAGUACAAGGACAUCAUAAGUCUUCAUAUGGUUGGGGGAGAUACAGGAAUCACAACCUGGAAGUGGUACGCAAUCAUGGAUGGAGCCCUGAGUAGCGAGAUCACCCUAAAUCCUUUCAUUACACCUGUCCACAUGUCCUCAUCUGCUCAGGAUUCUCCACCUGUUAAGCAGAGAAAAGCAGAAGAUUGGGUGAUGGCCCCACGGGAGAUGGAGAGGCUGCAGGAGGAACCAGAGAAGCGAACGACAGAGCGGGAGGAUGAGAGAGACAGACCGCAGAGAGAGAGGUGGAAAGAGACCGGAGGGCCGCAGAGAGGGAAGAGGAGCGAGCAAGUGCUGGAGAGGGAGAGGAGAAGGGAACAAGACAUUUUGCAAGAGAGGGGCGGUGGGAGAAAGAAAUGCUUGCUAGAGUAGAGAAACAGGAAAAGGAGUAUCGAGAAAGAGAAGAGAGGAGAGAUAAAGAAGCUGCUGCUAGAGAAGAAAAGCUCUCCAAACUCCUUGAGACAUUUCUGUCCAAAAAAUAGAAGAGUUACUGAUAAAAUCACAUUCCACUUUUCCAAGUUCCAAUUAUUGUAUAUUUUCUAUGAAUAAACUAUUUUGGUUGGCAUUUGUUGUCCUGUCUAGCUCUUCUGAGCCAGCCAAUAGAUAUCUUAAGUCAUUUUUAGAAUUGUUUCUGAAUUCUGGUGGACCACGGCACUGAGCCUAUACAAGAUGUUUGAACUGUCAUGUCCUCAACUACAGCAUGUAGCACAUCACAUUAGACAUAAAAUGUGUUGGUUAAUUUUAUAAUUAAUUUAAUAAUUGUGAAAUAUAUUUGGAUUCCAAUGCAAAGAAAAACUGAAUUUACUUAUAAUAAAUAUGAUCAUUUAUUUUCGAGCUCUUUUGCCUCGGUGACAAACUGCUCUAAACUUUUCUGCAGUGGCGCGCUGCUAAAAGCCUUUACAUGGUGCUUGUUUGGGCGUGUUUUAUGCAAAUUAAACGUACGCAAUUAUUAGUGAAUGAGACCAUUGUUUAUAUAAUAACUGCAAUAAGCACUCUUUAAAAUAAAGGUGCUUUAGGUUCUUCACAGCAAUGCCACAGCAGAACCAUUUUUGGUUUGACAAAGAAACUUUUAGACAAAGGUUUUUUAACCCUCAUAAGCCCCUAUUUUCCUGUAUACGUUAGAGUUCCCUGUGGGUAAAAUGACCCCAGAAAUGAAAAGGGUGAUUACUAAAAAUAUAUACAUUUUUAAUGAUACAAAAAAAUAUUUUUUUUUUGUUUACCUUCCAUCUAUACAAUAAUGCUGUGUUUUGGGAGAUAUGAAGUACUUUUGUACCUGUUUACCACUUAAUUCCUUAACUACACCAUUAGCUUGCCUGUAAAUAUCAAAUUCUUAUGAAAAAUUCACAUAAAUUAUUAUUUAAAUUUGAUUUAAAUGAUUUUUAGAUAUUGAUCUAUGUGUUAUGUGUUGUAUUCGACCAUUUGAUGUUAAGAAAAAAAAAACAGUUUUAUGGUUACAGUUUAGGAAAUAAAUCAUUUUGACCAGCAGAUGCCCAUAGAGACCCAUUCAUUUUUCUGGAUGUGGCCAACUGGUCAACAUCAAUACUUGAGUGAAACAUUUUGUGAAUUUAUGUUUAUAUUUACAUGAGAAAGGACAUAAAAAAUAAAAAUUAUUUCAAAUAGUAUAAUUUUUUUCUACUUUUUGAUGCAUUUUUAAAAGUGUCUGUUUUUACAAAAUGCCACAGAAAUUUGACUAAAUGUAAGGGUGUUUGUGUGUGUGUCUUUGUCUUUUUGUGCGUGUCUGUGUCUUUAUGUGUGUGUAAGUUUUACUGUGUCUUUGUGCGGCACACACCUGUGUGAGUAUUUUACAUCUUUUUUUUUUGCAUCUGUGGCUGUUUUAGCCAAAUUCUGUAAAAAAUGCUCUCUGUGCAGUCAUACCUUUGUGUGUUUGUUUGUGUGUGUCUGUUUGUGUGUGUGUGUGAUUGAGCAUGUCUUUUCUAUAUUGAAUUUGUGAUUUAGUACUAUGCCUACCUUUCGGUGUCAAAUUUUUCAGAUUUAUUUUGGAUGCAUUGAUUUUAUUUGAUGAUAACAAGAAAAAAUGAUUUUUUUCCAUUCCCCAUACACUUCAAUUGGGGUCAUUUUUACCCCCAAAGGGCCUCUUUUGGUGAAUUAUUUUUUUACACCUCUUUAGAACGACCGAAUCAAGCCCAGUUUUUUUUUUUUUAGAAUCUUGACAGAUAAUCUGGAAAAGUCACAAAAUCUUAUUCCACUGAGAUGAAGGGAGCCAUGCUAUUUAACUAAAUAAAAGUGGCUUGGGGGUAAGAUUGACCCCAAGGGACUUAUUAGGGUUAAAGAUCAUAAAUGCACUUUAUGGAACCAUUCAUCCAAAACAAUUCUUCUAGGGCACUGUAAAGCACCUAUAUUUUGAAUAGUGAAGAAUAAACCAACAAAACCUC